rnacentral:rRNA from 1 species
UACAGAGGUCUCAACCGUUGUUCGGAUUCAUUGGGCGUAAAGGGUGCGUAGGCGGUCGUGCAAGUCGGAUGUGAAAUCUCAGGGCUCAACCCUGAAAUUGCAUUCGAUACUGCGCGGCUAGAGUGCUGGAGGGGAGACUGGAAUUUACGGUGUAGCAGUGAAAUGCGUAGAUAUCGUAAGGAAGACCAGUGGCGAAGGCGAGUCUCUGGACAGCAACUGACGCUGAGGCACGAAGGCCAGGGGAGCAAACGGG